AUUGAACGCUGGCGGCAGGCCUAACACAUGCAAGUCGAGCGGAGCGGAGGACGGGUGAGCAAUUCCUAGAAAUCUGCGUGGUAGUGGGGGCUAACGGGCUGAAACUGGCGCAAAUCUCGUAAUCCAUUAGAUGAGCCUAUGUCGGCUUAGCUAGUUGGUGUGGUCAAGGCCUACCAAGGCCACAAGCCGUAACUGGUCUGAGAGGAUGAUCAGUCACACUGUAACUGAGACACGGUCCAGACUCCUACGGGAGGCAGCAGUGGGGAAUAUUUGACAAUGGGCGAAAGCCGGAUCCAGCCAUGCCGCGUGUGUGAAGAAGGUCUUCGGAUUGUAAAGCACUUUAAGUUAGGAGGCGUUACCAACAGAAUAAGCACCGGCUAACUUCGUGCCAGCAGCCGCGGUAAUAC
rnacentral:rRNA from 1 species